UACGUAGGGUGCGAGCGUUAAUCGGAAUUACUGGGCGUAAAGCGUGCGCAGGCGGUUCGUUGUGUCGGCGGGGAAAGCCCCGGGCUUAACCUGGGAAUGGCCGUCGAAACUGGCGAACUGGAGUGUGGCAGAGGGGGGUGGAAUUCCGCGUGUAGCAGUGAAAUGCGUAGAGAUGCGGAGGAACACCGAUGGCGAAGGCAGCCCCCUGGGCUAACACUGACGCUCAGGCACGAAAGCGUGGGGAGCAAACAGG
rnacentral:rRNA from 1 species